rnacentral:Y_RNA from 1 species
GGAAGGUCCGAAGAGCAAGGGUUACCAUAAGAAGAAUUAUUAUUACAAAUAUAUUAUAUCAAUACUCCCUCCCUUGCUCCCUACUUGACCUUCCUUUU